rnacentral:rRNA from 1 species
AAUGAACGCUGGCGGCAGGCUUAACACAUGCAAGUCGAACGGAUCCUUCGGGAUUAGUGGCAGACGGGUGAGUAACGCGUGGGAACGUUCCCUUUGCUACGGAAUAACUCAGGGAAACUUGAGCUAAUACCGUAUGUGCCCUACGGGGGAAAGAUUUAUCGGCAAAGGAUAGGCCCGCGUUGGAUUAGCUAGUUGGUGGGGUAAUGGCCUACCAAGGCGACGAUCCAUAGCUGGUCUGAGAGGAUGAUCAGCCACACUGAGACGAAGACACGGCCCAGACUCCUACGGGAGGCAGCAGUGGGGAAUAUUGGACAAUGGGCUCAAGCCUGAUCCAGCCAUGCCGCGUGAGUGAUGAAGGUCUUAAGAUUGUAAAGCUCUUUCACCGGUGAAGAUAAUGACGGUAGCCGAAGAAGAAGCCCCGGCUAACUUCGUG